rnacentral:miRNA from 1 species
CGGGGGAUACGAGCCACGCCGCGGCGGGCGGCGGGCGGCGGGCGGGAGAGCCGAGCCCGGC